rnacentral:lncRNA from 1 species
UUCCUCUUUUGAAUUCCUGGCCUUUGACCUAAAGUUCCUGAGGUUUGCUCUUACCAAUUAGAGCCAUUUUCAUUAUGCAAAAUCAAAAUGCAUGACAUGUCCAACACUAUACACAUUUAUAGCUACGGUUUGCUGCCGGAAUGACGAUCACAACACUGAUAAUGACAAGCGACUGCAAAUUGAAAGGGAUACAUUUUCUUGAGGAAAAGGAAUGGAAUCAAAAGGGGUGAAGCAUGAAGCAUCUUUGCUUUAUUCCACACCCCUUACCAACCUAAGCAAGUACCAAGAAUAACGGCAAGAUUUCACCAACACCAAAUCGGCAAUGGACUGCCAGGCUGCCAUUCCUGUACUGUGAUUAGAAAUAAUCGACAGUAGUUGUAAAAGGAUAUUAAUUAAGGCUAUAGAGUUGGUUACAGUGAGAGGGGAAAUCAUGAGGUUCAGGACAAGCAUGCUGGGAGUUUGCAUAAGCAGCAAGCAAACGAACUGCUAAGAAUCCAGACCAAGCACCCCCAGCACAGUCACGAGUUUAUUGUCAAAAUAACUCUUCUUCUAGAAUAUAUACUCAAAGUAACUAAAUUUUAAAACUUAUUACCUUUGUGAUCCUUUUUGCCACUUAGGCUGCAUAUGUGUCAGGAUAGAGAUAAAAACGUCCUCCAUUUCUCUUUCUCAUCUAAUAUUUUCUUCAAUUUCCUCUAUAAAGCUUCCCACAUUUUUUUCUUUCGUUAUCUUUCCCUUGUCAAACAUAAUCUAAGAAACCAAUCUUUAUAUUAACAGCAUCUAAAAAAUAUGUUUCGCAAGUUAAUAAUCUUAAGGUAGAUGAAGAUUAUUUUCGUCUUUUCAAAGAGUAGGAAGGAUAACAUAAACAAAUAUGAUAACCUUGAAAUUUUUAUAAUUGAUUACAAUUUUCGUUGCAAUUUUUGUAUUUUUAAAAUUAUUUUUUGAAAAAAUAUAUAUGCAAUAGGUUUGAUACAUUUAAAAAAAUUCGGAGACCAAUAAUAGUAAGGUCAAUAAUGGUAAAAUUUAUUUUAGAUAAUUAUAAGGAAAUUAUAAAAGUUAUGCAAUCUUCUUGCUCCUCUAUAAUAAAAAAAUAUAAAAUUUUAGUUAAUGUUAGAAAUUAUAAAUUGGAUUAGAACUUUCCUUUCUUGUUAUUCUACAUGGCAAUCAGGAUAAUUAGAUGGGAACAAUAAUAUCAUUAUGGUAAUAAAAUUUGAAAGUGAAUCACAUUGGAAAUAUUUUUUAGUAAGAGUGUUAUUUUGACAAAAAAACUCGCACAGUCACAGUUGUAUAUGGCAGCCAAUAGUCAUACUAACAGAAAUACUUUUUUUACUCGACAAAAAAUGAUACCUACAACCUUGCAAUUUUUGUCCCUCUAACUUAACUAUUCUAAUCUUUCAUUUCUCAAUCAAAAGUGCUACUUCCCAUGCCUGCUCUCUACCCCCGAUAUUUCAGGGCUGACAAAUUAGCUUGGAAUCUUUUAUUGAUGGGAAAGGCAUUGACUUACCAACUCUCAAGU